rnacentral:rRNA from 1 species
AGAGUUUGAUCCUGGCUCAGGAUGAACGCUGGCGGCGUGCUUAACACAUGCAAGUCGAACGAACUUUCGGGUUAGUGGCGGACGGGUGAGUAACGCGUGAGAAUCUGCCCUCAGGAGGGGGAUAACGGUUGGAAACGACCGCUAAUACCCCAUAUGCCUACUGGUGAAAUGAAUUUCGCCUGAGGAUGAGCUCGCGUCUGAUUAGCUAGUUGGUGAGGUAAUGGCUCACCAAGGCUUCGAUCAGUAGCUGGUCUGAGAGGAUGAUCAGCCACACUGGGACUGAGACACGGCCCAGACUCCUACGGGAGGCAGCAGUGGGGAAUUUUCCGCAAUGGGCGAAAGCCUGACGGAGCAACGCCGCGUGAGGGACGAAGGCCUCUGGGCUGUAAACCUCUUUUCUCAAGGAAGAAGAUAUGACGGUACUUGAGGAAUAAGCCACGGCUAAUUCCGUGCCAGCAGCCGCGGUAAUACGGGAGUGGCAAGCGUUAUCCGGAAUUAUUGGGCGUAAAGCGUCCGCAGGCGGCUUUUCAAGUCUGCUGUUAAAGCGUGGAGCUUAACUCCAUCAUGGCAGUGGAAACUGAAAGGCUUGAGUAUGGUAGGGGCAGAGGGAAUUCCCGGUGUAGCGGUGAAAUGCGUAGAUAUCGGGAAGAACACCAGUGGCGAAGGCGCUCUGCUGGGCCAUUACUGACGCUCAUGGACGAAAGCCAGGGGAGCGAAAGGGAUUAGAUACCCCUGUAGUCCUGGCCGUAAACGAUGAACACUAGGUGUCGGGGGAAUCGACCCCUUCGGUGUCGUAGCUAACGCGUUAAGUGUUCCGCCUGGGGAGUACGCACGCAAGUGUGAAACUCAAAGGAAUUGACGGGGGCCCGCACAAGCGGUGGAGUAUGUGGUUUAAUUCGAUGCAACGCGAAGAA